rnacentral:misc_RNA from 1 species
CGUUCUCUGUUUAUAACACGUUACGACGCAGUUGAAAAAAUCCACGACGGAAUUACGUCGCGAUUAGCUAAAUGAUAAAAGCUAAUUCUCGUCAAAACGGACUCACCUAGCUCUGUCGCUGAAGAAAUCGACCUUGUUUUUCUUUUUGGACAUCGACUGUGGCUGGUGAAGAGGACUGACGCUCGGUUCGCUGGUCGCGGGAGGAGAGCUAGACCCGGUACUGGACGACAAAGAUCCGGCCCUUCCACGUCCGGACUCGAUCAUCUGAGCCUCGCUUCCCCUGUUGACUCCGAUAACGCCCUUCGGCGUCAUCGGGACGAUGUCCAACGGCGACGAGACCGGGCGGCAUCCAGUCGAGGUCCUUUUUUAGGUGACCCCUGCCGCACCUGCAGCCGCAGGCUUUGAAUGCCAAAUCGUAACCCUUUUUGGUCCAGAGAUUCUGAUGACGUUGACGCUCCGACCAGCUUCUUGCGCGGCCGCAACCCUUCAGGUAAGUCAACACCGUUUGUUCCCACGCGUCGAAGCAUUCCCUGUGCAUGAAUUGGCCUACCGGGCAACUCUCGUUGUUGCAAGUUACUUUGACCGCGUCUUGAAGGAGAUUUAAACGUAUCGGUGUGUCACCGCGGAGGCAUUCGCCACUGGGCGCGCAACAACGCGUUGUAUUUUGAAUGGUGUUGUUGUUGUUGUGGUUGUUAUUGUUGUGAUGACCGUUCGCCACCAAGUCAGCCAAUUCGUUACCACCUGCAUCCAACAUUCCACCGUGACCGUUAGCGUGUCGUCUCGGUGCCAUUUUUGAUGAUUGGUUUUAUUCGGCUCUUUUUUUUCUCUAUGCGAAGCGACACGAACGAUCGAUGUUGACUCGAAGUCCAAAGAUUUCGACGAAAGAAAACUACGAGAACGUUGCGAUUCGAUCGGGGUCCUUUGUGGUGCGAAAAUUAUUCGUCGUAUACAAUCACAACGCGAGAUGACGGUAACGAUUACGGAUAAAAAAAAAUCAUACAAAUUAUAAAUAAAACUGGAAAAGAAAAAA